UACGGAGGGUGCAUGCGUUAAUCGGAAUUACUGGGCGUAAAGCGCACGCAGGCGGUCUGUCAAGUCGGAUGUGAAAUCCCCGGGCUCAACCUGGGAACUGCAUCUGAUACUGGCAAGCUUGAGUCUCGUAGAGGGGGGUAGAAUUCCAGGUGUAGCGGUGAAAUGCGUAGAGAUCUGGAGGAAUACCGGUGGCGAAGGCGGCUUUCUGGACAGAUACUGACGCUGAGGUGCGAAAGCGUGGGGAGCAAACAGG
rnacentral:rRNA from 1 species